UACGUAGGUGCGAGCGUUAAUCGGAAUUACUGGGCGUAAAGCGUGCGCAGGCGGUUUUGUAAGCCAGGUGUGAAAUCCCCGGGCUCAACCUGGGAAUGGCAUUUGGGACUGCAAGGCUGGAGUGCGGCAGAGGAGACUGGAAUUCCUGGUGAGCAGUGAAAUGCGUAGAUAUCAGGAGGAACACCGAUGGCGAAGGCAGGUCUCUGGGCUGACACUGACGCUCAUGGCACGA
rnacentral:rRNA from 1 species